rnacentral:rRNA from 1 species
AACGAACGCUGGCGGCGCGCCUAAUACAUGCAAGUCGAACGCGAAAGUCCCCUUCGGGGGACAAGUAGAGUGGCGCACGGGUGAGUAACACGUAGGUAAUCUACCUUCGGAUGGGGAAUAACAAUCGGAAACGGUUGCUAAUACCGCAUAAUGCAGCGGCACCUAAUGGUGACAGUUGUUAAAGCGGGGGAUCGAAAGACCUCGCGUCUGAAGAGGAGCCUGCGGCGGAUUAGCUAGUGGUAAGGUAAUGGCUUACCAAGGCGACGAUCCGUAACCGGCCUGAGAGGGCGGUCGGGUCACACUGACACUGACAUACGGGUCAGACUCCUACGGGAGGCAGCAGUCGGAAUUUUGGGCAAUGGGCGAAAGCCUGACCCAGCAACGCCGCGUGAAGGAUGAAAUCCCUCGGGAUGUAAACUUCGCAAGAACGGGAAGAAUAAGUAGGGGACAAUACCCCCUAUGAUGACGGUACCGUUUGUAAGCCCGGCUAACUCCGUGCC